GCCUUUGUGCUGUAAUGGUUAGCACACUUGACGCUUAUUCGAGAGAUCCAGGUUCGAGUCUUGUCGAGGGCA
rnacentral:tRNA from 1 species